rnacentral:rRNA from 1 species
AGAGUUUGAUCCUGGCUCAGGAUGAACGCUGGCGGCGUGCAUAACACAGUUCAAGUCGAACGGGCGAAGGGAGCUUGCUCCCCGAGCUAGUGGCGGACGGGUGAGUAACGCGUGAGCAACCUGCCUCUGUGUGUGGGAUACCGUCUGGAAACGGACGUUAAUACCGCAUGACCCAUAUAGAACGCAUGUUAGGUAUGGCAAAGAUUAAUUGCACAGAGAUGGGCUCGCGUCUGAUUAGGCAGUUGGUGAGGUAACGGCCCACCAAACCUACGAUCAGUAGCCGGACUGAGAGGUUGAACGGCCACAUUGGAACUGAGAAACGGUCCAGACUCCUACGGGAGGCAGCAGUGGGGAAUAUUGGGCAAUGGGCGAAAGCCUGACCCAGCGACGCCGCGUGAAGGAAGACGGUCUUCGGAUUGUAAACUUCUUUUAUGAGGGACGAUAAUGACGGUACCUCAUGAAUAAGCCACGGCUAACUACGUGCC